CAUGUGGGGUGAGCAGAGGGGAUCCUAAAGAGGACUGCUCAGUCGCAAUAGUAGCCGCUGAAUUGCGCCCCUGCUCAGUCCAGGUGCUAGACGACCAUCUAACUACCACCGCCUAUGUGCAGAUUCGUGGCUAGGGACUGCCAGAUUCACUAAUCCUGUCCCCGUCACCACUAGUCCAUCACUGCAGGGCUUGGAAGAUUGGAAAGAUGUUAUUUCCUGUGGUAGAAGCCUGUGCGUGAUUUCUUUUAACGUGGGGAAGCUGGUGUGCCUGCAGCGACCACACAAUCAUGACAAGUUGGAGGUCUGUGGCCCAGUGCCAGGGAAAGUCCGAGAUGACUGGAGGGCUGUGUGUUAACAGUGGAUAGAGCAAACUGUAUUAACCCCAGUCUCUUUGAAGACAGCAAACUUAAUAGCUUCUGUGAAUGCCCAGUGAGAGGGACUGGUCACUGCAGGGAGACAUCUCUAAGGAACUUGGAAACUGCAAGAAACAGAGCCAAUUUCUGGGAGGUCAGUAUGGCACCAAACUUUGUGAUUCAUCCUCAUGGAAAGGACACAACAUUCACGUACAAAUCACCGAGGCAUAAAACUCCUGCUCCCAGCAAAGAUGCAAAUCUGCCGCUUCUCUGGGCAGAACUCACGCUUUCUACAAAGUGGAGCAGCCUUUUCCACCUCCCCAUCAACUUUCAUCCUUCGCAGUAUCCAUUAGAAGUAAAGCCUCUUAGCCAAGAUGAAGCCCUGAUCCACCUUGCUUCUGACUCAACAGCUUCCAGAGAACAGGAAGGCUAAUGCUGGAGUGCUCCAGAUAUCGGAGAGGCAGCCUGGCACAACGUGCAUAAGGGGUCCUACAGAAAGCGAAUCUACUUACAUCUCUCUGCUGCCACCGACAAGGUGGCUCAGCAACCGUAUCCAGUGUUUUAUGCAUAUGAAUGCACAGGCAUGCAUGCACGUAACUGAAAAGUCUGCGUGCGUGCAUGCCUGUGCAAAAUAAACUCUCAUUCACCUUGUGAACAAACCUCAGCACUGAGCAUUUGUUAUGAAGAUUGGUGGCCCACAAUUUAGUGAUGCUUAGCGGUUCAAGGGCUUAGCAGUACAUGAAAAACUGAUUAGCUGCUCCCUCACCUUCUGGCCCAUUCCUCACCAUUGUACAGAUAAAAACAACUUCUUUUUUUUUAAAAGUUGGCACAUCCUUUUAAUAGCUGCCUGUCAUUUAAACAUUUCACCUUUCAAUGCCAUUGUGUGGAGGUGGUGCUUUCCCACUGAAUGCAUGAAAAUUGGAUGAUGCACCCAGUUAGACCCAUCCUCUGCUGUGACAUUACCCAUGGUACAAUCUGGACUCAUGAACAGCUGUGCCAAUUCAGUUCUCCAACCUGGCUUUCCUUUUACACUGCUUUGCUGUGAGAGUUACCACUCCUGGUCUCCUUACACACAGCCUCCAGCAUGUAAGUUACUCCCAGUUAUAGUAUAUGAGUGCUGUAACCAGCCACUCUUAAAUUAUACUGAAGAGCAACACCAGCAAACUCCCAGUCCCAGACUUUCCCCAGAAAUAUCCGUCUUGUACUGCCCAGAUUGCUCCUGGACCAUACAAGCUCAUACAAAGUCAGCCAUUUUAUUAAUAGAAAAUGA